GAUGAACGCUAGCGGGAGGCUUAACACAUGCAAGUCGAGGGGUAUAGUAGCAAUACUAGAGACCGGCGGACGGGUGCGUAACGCGUAUGCAACUUGCCUUAUACAGGGGGAUAGCCCGUGGAAACGCGGAUUAAUACCCCAUAUGUCAUUUGGGUCGCAUGGUCUGGAUGAUAAAACUGAGGUGGUAUAAGAUGGGCAUGCGUCUGAUUAGCUUGUUGGUAAGGUAACGGCUUACCAAGGCGACGAUCAGUAGGGGUUCUGAGAGGAUAAUCCCCCACACUGGUACUGAGACACGGACCAGACUCCUACGGGUGGCAG
rnacentral:rRNA from 1 species